CCUACGGGUGGCAGCAGUGGGGGAUCUUUCACAAUGGGGGGAACCCUGAUGCUGCGACGCCGCGUGGGUGAAGAAGGGUCUUGGCGUGUAAAGCCCUGUCCGUAGGGAAGAAAAUGACGGUACUUGUAGCACAAGCCCCGGCCAACUAGGUGCCAGCAGCCGCGGCAAUACGUAGGGGGCAAGCGUUAUCCGGAUUUACUGGGUGUAAAGGGGGCGCAGGCGGAGAUGCAUGCCAGGAGGGAAAGCCCGGGGCCCAACCCCGGGACUGCUCAGGGAACUGCGUGGCGGGAGUGAAGGAGGGGCAGGCGGAAUUCCCGGUGUAGCAGUGAAAUGCGUAGAUAUCAAGAGGAACACCGGUGGCGAAGGCGGGCUGCUGGACUGCAACUGACGCUGAGGCACGAAGGCGAGGGGAGCGAACGGGAUUAGAUACCCCAGUAGUC
rnacentral:rRNA from 1 species